UGGGGAAUAUUGGACAAUGGGGGAAACCCUGAUCCAGCAAUGCCGCGUGAGUGAAGAAGGCCUUAGGGUUGUAAAGCUCUUUUGCCCGGGAAGAUAAUGACGGUACCGGGAGAAUAAGCCCCGGCUAACUCCGUGCCAGCAGCCGCGGUAAUACGGAGGGGGCUAGCGUUGUUCGGAAUUACUGGGCGUAAAGCGUACGUAGGCGGAUGCGCAAGUUGGGGGUGAAAUCCCGGGGCUUAACCUCGGAAUUGCCCUCAAAACUGCACGUCUUGAGACCGAGAGAGGUAAGGGGAAUUCCUAGUGUAGAGGUGAAAUUCGUAGAUAUUAGGAAGAACACCAGUGGCGAAGGCGCCUUACUGGCUCGGUACUGACGCUGAGGUACGAAAGCGUGGGGAGCAAACAGG
rnacentral:rRNA from 1 species